GUUUAUUCCCCCCCACAUGGUUAUAUGAUGUAAAGCAGCACUAGGGACAGCUGCAAGGUAUUGGCUGAGUCUAUGGAAGAUCCAUAGACCUUGAGAGUACAGCAAUGACAGAGUACUGUUGUUGAGGAGUGGCGCAAGAAAGAUGGCAGCGGCUGCGAGGAAAAGGUUCAGUUAAGUAAUCUCACUUUUGCCUGCCCACUGCUGCCACCGGACUCCAGUGAUAUCUCCAUCGGGGGACUUUGCAAAUUUGGCAAAGGCUACAGACUGUGACAGUGCCACUCUGAGUUACAUUUUUGCUGCUGUAUUUUGCAAAUAUACAUAAUAAGCAUCCAUAAUAUUUAGUAAAAAAAUAAAGCUAAAAUAUCGGCCAAACAGUUUUAAGUCAAACUAAAAUUAUCUGUGGAGAACGCCAGUGUAGCAAAUCUAACUUUCCCCAUGAAGCCAUAGGUUAUGAAGAGGGAAAAACAAACAAACAAAAAAACUGUCCAAUUCAUUUUUCCUGGCAAUUAUCUGGCUUCAUUAGGAUGAGUUACUAGUAUUCAAAAAGUAGGGACAGGGUUAACUGUGACCAGAUUUGAGGUUAUAAUAGGUAUCGUUGGUUCAACUUCUACCAAAUUUAUAUCACCAAGACAUAAUGCAUACCAUAAAAAAACCAAAAAAAAAAAAACCAUGCCACUAAUUUGACACCCCUGUAUAUUUUGGACAGGAAGAAUAAAGCACUCUCUGUAGACUAAGCUUCUAUUUGACAGAAUGGAUUGUUUAGACCCUCAAUGGUUUGUCACCUCAUAAUUGCAAUUCACAAACAAGUCCAGCAGUGUGUAGAUACACCCAAUAUGUAUACAUUGGCUGUACAGUAGCAUGUGUUGUGAUCAGCAUACUCCCCUUUAAUGUUCAAGAUUAAGGCACAAUUGACCUGCUACAGUACUAGGGGCAUUGUGGAUGAGUUGAGAUUGGUUUAAAUGUGUUCAUGUCAAGAAAUGAAGCCAUUUAUUUUAGCUUGAAGGGAAAAAAUAGAAAAAGUAACUUUGGAAUAAUCUACACAUGGCUUACAAUUUCAGGAUCUUCACUACUAGCCACGCUUUAACAGGACACUUCACUGCCCAAACACACCAAAAAAAAAAAAUUCCUGCCUACUGCCUUUGAAAACCAUUCCCUUCCUACCUAGCUCAGACUCUCUGUGGUUGUUCAAUCACAGACUUCCCAAUGCAGCUCAAUGGGAAAGGUCUUUGCAGGGCAGGUCCUCUGGGUAAUUGCCUGACGGUUGAGUUUAGCUCCACUGAGCAAAUCAAACCAGGAAGUAACCUGUUGUGUGAUAACGUAUUACAUUUAAAUUGGAUUUUCAUUACUCUAGUACAGCUUUAAAAUGGUUCUUAUACUAUGUAUCAAUACAUACACCAAAUAUACAGAUCUUUAAUUACAAAGCAACUGUUAAGUGGAGAAGCAGACUCCAUUUUCCUAGUGCUUUCAAUUACAUCCUUUUUUAAAUGAUACAAACAAAAUGCUUUCUAUAGAAACAAAUCCUGCAAUAUGUAUUCUUAAUAAAUAGGAAGGGGGCGCAAACAUCCCUUCCCCAAUAAAAACAAAAAAAACUUUACUUUGUUUCUAUAAAAAGCAAAACAUUGCAUGUUCUUAGUGCUUAACUGAGAUCUCCGGGCUAGGAAACUAAUUUCAGAGCCAAGAGGUGUAACCAAUUCUAUUCACUGGGGCCAACACUACUGAAUGAACACUAAGUUAACCAACGAUAAGAUAUCACUAAUGAUAUUUACUUCAAAGGAUUAAUAAAAGAAAGACGAAUAUUAGCAGCAUGUUCCCAUAAUAUAUGCAGCAAUGUCCUCCCUGCUUGGAAAUCAGCAUUUAUUUGCAAUACAGUAUGUUUCCAACCAAUGAUUGUUCUCAUACUAUACCCGUGUCCUUUUAUCAGCUCUACCCCUUGAUUAGUAAGCUACUUGUUUACAACCUAUCCAAAAAAAAAAAAAAAAAAAUUUAUAUAUAUAUACACACACACACACACACGCUUUUUUUAAAGCAACAUGGCCUUGUCAGUCUCAAAGUGCAAUGUAAACAAGUUUUUUGACAAUGAUGUAUACCAGUCAACCAGAAAACAGGGUGGGGGUCUUAACUAAAGGUCAAUUCUUAAUAGCAGAAAGAAAAUCAUUAAUAGGCCACUAACCUUUCGCUGGCAUGGUUGCAUCAAAAAUACAUGAAAAAACUGUAGGGAACCCCCCCAAAAAAUUUAAAUAAAAACUUACUGGCCUUAAAUAUCUUUUUCCUAGGCUGGUUUAUAUAAACUGGAUAUUACUCUUGCUAGUAGGCUUAACUUCAACCUCUGAACAUGUCAUGUGAUAUUUACUUUAUAAUGCUAUAACCUCUCCAUUUCAUUACGACAAAAAAGUAAAACCUCCGGAAAGUGCUGUGUACGUGGAAUUAUGUAUAAAAAUACAGAAUGAACAUUAACUGGUAUUAAAAUACACUUCUGAAAGGUGAUUACGUUUUGCACAUUUCUUUUUCAUAGAAAGUCGCUGUUACCUAUAUUCCGGCAAAGACCUGUAUGAUUAAAUUCAUAGCAAAAAAACCUCAGCUGAAACAGCCUUUGAAUUGUGAAACAUGAUACUUAAAGGGAUACUAUAGUCACCAAAACAAUUUUAGCUUAAUGAAACAGUUUUUGUGUAUAGAUCAUGUCUCUGAAGUUUCACUGCCAUUUAGGAGUUAAAUCCAUUUGUUUCUGUUGAUGCAGCCCGAGCCACACCUCCCCUGGCUGUGACUCACACAGCCUGCAUGAAAAAAUAUGGUUUCCUUUUCAAUAAGAUGUAACAUACUUUACAAUUUUUCUAUUUCCUGCCCUGUCAUUUGAACUUUAUUUGCAUACAUACAGCUCCUCCAGGGUCUAGCAAGCUAUUAACAGAGAAGGAUAUAAAAAAAAUUCUAGAGAAUUAUAGAGAAUUUGUAAACAUUAGAUGACUCUUUACAGGAAAUGCUUAGGGAGGCUUUCUAAGUCACAUGCAUUGAGGUGUAACUAGGGCUGUAAUAAAGUGAUUUAACUAAUAAAUGGCAGAUAAUUGAGCGGUGAAACUGCAGGGGCAUGAUCUACACACCAACACCGCUUUAUCAAACUACAACAGUUUUGGUGACUAUAGUGUCCCUUUAACAUGUAGAGAGUUAGCCGCAGCCCCACAGUACAGGGAUAAUUUCUGGUAAAUAUGCUUGUCACACUGCGCACCAUCGCAUUAUUACAUGGGCUAUUCACUGAAAUUUUUGUGAUUUAAUAUCAGACUUGCAGAAUUUAGACUAAAAUUGCAGAGUUUGAUAUUUUCUCUAUCACAUCUGGUACUCUGCAAUUUCUUGCAAGUUGCUUCCCAAUUCUUUUUUUCAGUGACUAACCUGACAGAAGUAGCUGGGAUGAGUUAACAUGCAAGUUUUAUUAAAGACCAUGAAUGUCUACAAUGAGUCUAAGAAAAGAAGUAUUUGUUUAUAUCUAUCAGUUAUUUAACUGUGGAGGUUUAAUGGUGCAGCAUUAAGUUUGACAAUAUGUUCCAGGUUGAUUUUCCAUGAGUGUCUACCACCGUAUCUUCAAUACCCUUGCCCAAUCAGCACAGGUGGUUAUUUAAGGUCAUAGUAUGACUGAUCUAUCCAUGUACAAAAAAAAAAAAAAAAAGAAAGAAAAUCCAUACUAGUGAUACAGAAUAAAAACAAUUGCUUUAUGAAUGGGGUUUGAACACCUUUUGAUGCCACUCUGAUUGCAUCAUUACUUCUAUUUAAACACAAAUUGGAUUUAAAAUUGUAAGUCUCACAUUUGUCCUACACAAAUACAAUCAGAUUUUGGUAAAAUAACGACUGACCAUUGUGUGCGGAGGUGCUGAAUAAUUUAAUUUGGAGUAUAAAAUGCCCUUCGACACAAAUGCUUAGAACAAAAUGCAGUUAUUUUAAGUGACUUUCUUUAAAAGAAAAAAAAAAUAAUACCUCUGAGAUGUAUCUGAAGGGGCAAUUUUGUUUAACAUAGCAUUAGCCUUCCUGCCUGACUGGCACAGUUACCUCCCAAUAAACACGCUCAAUAGGUGCAGUUGGCACAUGGCUCCCAAACAGUUACAAUUAACUCUCAUUGGCUAUACAACGAAAUCGGAUUUAACAUGUUCACUUUAGGAAAUCUUGACGUGAACGUGUUAUGUAAUUGGGAGACAUACUGCGCUGAUGACAAUAGGAACAGUGAGCAUGUUUUGCAUAAAUAAGUUGCCUGUGUCUCUUUGAAUUUUUUUUUUUAGAAAUUCUAAUUUGGUCUUUUUUUUCCCUUUAAAAGAAUAAGUGAGGUUGGAAUAUUACGGUCACUGCUAAUGUAACAUAAGUUCUCCCACAGUAAAAGUCCAGACUGUAAUGCUAUCUGCUAAAUACUGGCUUUUCCAGUGCAUGACAUUACUAAACGAGCAUACAACUUCAGUAUCAUUCAGAUUUAUGUUGCAAUUAAGUAAAUGAUAUUCAAAAUGUGUCCAGUUAGUGACACUUGAGAACAGAUUCAUGAACAUUAAAGGGUCACUCUUGGUUCCUUCAACUGAACUGUUAGCCAAUUUAGGCUUCAAUUUAAUAAGCUUUCCAAAUAAAUCAAUACGGUAAGAAAAAUUUCCCAUUGAUUUAUCUACUGAAAUCAUUGAAGUCUAAGUCGAUUUUUGUAUACAUCAGUUGGAAAGUUUUCUAGCAGUAAUGAAUCAUUUGGAAAUCUUAUUAAAUCAAGGCAUAAUAAGCAUGUUCAAACUUGUUUGACUUUGUACCCACCCCAACAGCUUAAAUGCAUUCCCUUGGUUUCUCAUUUGCAUAGGAAGAGUGAUCCCAAAAAAACAAAAACCCCAAAAAUCCAAAACAGAUGUCCUUCGGUCCCAAAAACAAAACAAAAAAAACACUACUCCCCAUAAGGAAUCAAUGUAUUGCUACUUGAUCACACACAACGCAACAAGUGGAACUUCACUCAAAAUAAAUUUGCAUUCAAUCGCAAUUGAUUUUUAAAUGAUGGAAGCGUUUCGUCUGAACUGCAAAUGUAGCAUUAUAUUUAUUCCUGUGCAACUGGUAAAGUCAGGGAUAGUCAGAUUCUCCAGCUAGACCAUGCUUUCAAUGUAAACUGGAAGAUGAUGACCAGACACAUGACAAUUUAUAAGAGUGAGAACCAGGUAUAUUUUUAUAUAAUGUAUUCAACAGGCAGUAUAGCCAACCUGGAGUAUUCGGUGAUUGUGAAUCCCAACAGACCCCAUGUAAUACCUUUUUUUGACUUUGAAAACAAUAUUCAAACAUAAAAGAACAUCUAGUAUAAAGAAAGAUAAAUAUAGGUAAACAUUGUUAGGUUGACAGAUGAUGUUACACAUAUAGUACUAUUAGCUUCUGCACUUUUUAUUCAAGGCUUUUGCCCUUUCAACUGAAAUGUAUUUAUCAUAAUCAUUAUUUAACACUGUUAAUAUUUGAAGUACCUCUCUCUGCUUACUGACCGUCCACAUUUUUUUUAAAAUAAAAUUGAGACAUUUAAGAUAUUAUAUUAUCCCCUCCAAAUAAAAGCAUUUAUAUCUUUCCCAAAAAAUUAAAAAUAUAUGUAUAUUUAUAAGCUUUUUUUUAUUAUAGGCCUGAAGGCUUGUAAUAACACAUCCAAAUUACAAUUAUCUGGAGUUUAAUUUCAAUUGAGCCAACACAGCAAGCACCACUGAGCUGUUUGCGAGUAACACUACAAAGAAACAUAUCAGAAAACAAACUAUUUGAGAUGCCUCUGUCAAAAAGCUAGAUGAAUGAAU